rnacentral:rRNA from 1 species
AUGGGUGCCUUGUUACUUCAAACACCGGUUUUCCCCUUCUUGCAGUCUACCCAGAGAAGCGAAGGUUUUAAUGCAGUUCUUAAGCGUUAUGUGAACCCGCACAACUCUGUGUUGAACUUUGUUAAGCAGUAUGAGAAAAUACAGACACAUGUUCUUGUCCGAGAGGGCGGAAAUGACUAUAGGACAGACCACUUGGAGGUUGAGUUGUGGUCUGAUUUCCCAAUCGAGAAACAAGCCUAUCAAGCCUACACUAGGGACAUUUACCUCAAGUUCCAAACCGAGUUUGCACUAAUUGGGAAAUACAAUGUUCGUCCGCAUGGUGCUAGUUUGUUUGAGCUUUACUCAAACAGA